rnacentral:rRNA from 1 species
AACAAACGCUGGCGGCGUGUCUUAAGCAUGCAAGUUGAGCGGCAAGGAGGAGAGAUCCUCCCUAGAGCAGCGGACUGGUGAGUAACGCGUGGGUAAUCUAUCUUAGGCAUGGGGAUAGUCACUAGAAAUAGUGGGUAAUACCGAAUAAGUUCCAUAAGGGGAGGACUUAUGGAAGAAAGGUGCUACGGCACUGGCCUUAGGUGAGCUCGCGUCCCAUUAGCUAGUUGGUGAGGUAAAGGCCCACCAAGGCGAUGAUGGGUAGCCGGCCUGAGAGGGUGUACGGCCACACUGGGACUGAGAUACGGCCCAGACUCCUACGGGAGGCAGCAGCUAAGAAUAUUCCGCAAUGGACGGAAGUCUGACGGAGCGACGCCCGCGUGGAUGAAGAAGGCCGGAAAGGUUGUAAAGUUCUUUUGCUAGGGGAGAAUAAGUGUGGGAGGGAAUGCCUGCACGAUGACAAGGACUAGCGAAUAAGUCCCGGCCAACUACGUGCCAGCAGCCG